AGUGAACGCUGGCGGUAGGCCUAACACAUGCAAGUCGAACGGCAGGACAGUAAGAGCUUGCUCUUACGGGUGGCGAGUGGCGGACGGGUGAGGAAUACAUCGGAAUCUACUUUUUCGUGGGGGAUAACGUAGGGAAACUUACGCUAAUACCGCAUACGACCUACGGGUGAAAGCAGGGGAUCUUCGGACCUUGCGCGAUUGAAUGAGCCGAUGUCGGAUUAGCUAGUUGGCGGGGUAAAGGCCCACCAAGGCGACGAUCCGUAGCUGGUCUGAGAGGAUGAUCAGCCACACUGGAACUGAGACACGGUCCAGACUCCUACGGGAGGCAGCAGUGGGGAAUAUUGGACAAUGGGCGCAAGCCUGAUCCAGCCAUACCGCGUGGGCGAAGAAGGCCUUCGGGUUGUAAAGCCCUUUUGUUGGGAAAGAAAAGCAGCAGGUUAAUACCCCGCUGUUCUGACGGUACCCAAAGAAUAAGCACCGGCUAACUUCGUG
rnacentral:rRNA from 1 species